UACGUAGGCAGCAAGCGUUGUUCGGAGUUACUGGGCGUAAAGAGUGCGUAGGUGGUGCCCUAAGUCUGUUGUGAAAUCUCCCGGCUUAACUGGGAGGGUGCGGUGGAAACUGGGGUGCUUGAGUGUGGGAGAGGUAAGCGGAAUUCCUGGUGUAGCGGUGAAAUGCGUAGAUAUCUGGAGGAAUACCGGUGGCGAAGGCGGCAUCCUGGACCAUUACUGACGCUGAGGCGCGAAAGCUAGGGGAGCAAACGGG
rnacentral:rRNA from 1 species